AUUGAACGCUGGCGGCAGGCCUAACACAUGCAAGUCGAGCGAGCGGCGGACGGGUGAGUAAUGUAUGGGGACUGCCCGAUAGAGGGGGAUAACUACUGGAAACGGUAGCUAAUACCGCAUACUAUCGGAUAACCCAUAUGGGAUUAGCUCGUAGGUGAGGUAAUGGCUCACCUAGUCGACGAGCCCUAGCUGGUCUGAGAGGAUGAUCAGCCACACGGAGACUGAGACACGGCCCAGACGCCGAGGUAGGCAGCAGUGGGGAGUAUUGCACAAUGGGCGCAGGCAUGAUGCAGCCAAGCUGCGUGUAUGUAGAAGGCCCUAGGGUUGUAAAGUACUUUCAGUCGGGAGGCGUUACCGACAGGAGAAGCACCGGCUAACUCCGUGCCAGCAGGCGCGGUAAUAC
rnacentral:rRNA from 1 species